rnacentral:lncRNA from 1 species
CAUUUCCUUUUUUUUUUUUUUUUACGAAAAUUUUGGUCAAAGGCCUUUUGUGGAAAAGUGGGCAGCCAUUAGCCACCAUUUCCUCCUUGCUGCCCUCGUUUUCUCCUCCCUCAGCCCUCUCUGGUAUUCUUCUUCUCUUGCUUCUUCUUCUUCUCUCUCGGUUCUUCCUUUCCUCUUCCUAUUCUUAAUCUGUUCUCCAUUUCUCUGUUGGUAUCCUUCUUCUUCUCCUCUUCUCCGCCGUUUCUCCGUUCCUUUGCUGUUCUUCUUCUCUUCUUCUUAUAUCUCUGCUGCUACGUUUCUCCUCUACCAGGUAUUCUUCUUCCUCUUCUCUUCUUGCUGUUAUUCUGUUCUCCAUCUCUCUCUUUCUUUUCUUUCCUAUGCUGGUCUAUAUAUUUCUCUUUUAUAUUUUGUUCUUUACUUGUAAGUCGGCAUUGUAAUGGAAAAAUCAAUCAAGGGAACGAAUGGCUGAUUUUGUUUGUAAUUUCAGUUUAUAUUCCUUCAAUUUGAGUAAUUACAAUCUAUCUUUGCAUCUUGAUUUUAUAAUUGCUCGUUAUUGGUUGAGUUUGGCUGGAAAUUAAUUGAUUUUGGUUGAAGUUGGACUCCAACCUUAACACAUUUUCCUCUAUUACAAAGUUCCUCUUUAUUACGCUUUGCUCUUCAGCAGUGACGUGAUCCUUUGACCCACCAUCUUUUGACCCCUCUCUCUGUGUACUGGAAAUGGGCAAAGACUUGGGCAAUCAUGUAAGCG